GUGGGGAAUAUUGGACAAUGGGCGAAAGCCUGAUCCAGCCAUGCCGCGUGUGUGAAGAAGGUCUUCGGAUUGUAAAGCACUUUAAGUUGGGAGGAAGGGCAGUAAGUUAAUACCUUGCUGUUUUGACGUUACCGACAGAAUAAGCACCGGCUAACUUCGUGCCAGCAGCCGCGGUAAUACGAAGGGUGCAAGCGUUAAUCGGAAUUACUGGGCGUAAAGCGCGCGUAGGUGGUUUUGUAAGUUGGAGGUGAAAGCCCCGGGCUCAACCUGGGAACUGCCUCCAAAACUGCAUGACUAGAGUACGGUAGAGGGUAGUGGAAUUUCCUGUGUAGCGGUGAAAUGCGUAGAUAUAGGAAGGAACACCAGUGGCGAAGGCGACUACCUGGACUGAUACUGACACUGAGGUGCGAAAGCGUGGGGAGCAAACAGGAUUAGAAACCCGAGUAGUCC
rnacentral:rRNA from 1 species